AGAUCCUUAUUUAAAAUAACAUGAAAAUGUUACAAUUUGAUUGUAUUCUCUGGGGAAAAUUCCCAACGUGUGAUAACAUGAAGAUCUUAUGUAAUUUCUGGUGUAAGAUCCCAAUCUUUGAUAACAUGAAAAUGUUAUAAACCUUAAGUAAUCACUCAGGUAGGAUCCCGAUUUCUGGAUAACAUGAAAAUUUUAUAAACCUUAAGUAAUCACUGGGGUAGGAUCCCAAUUUCUGGAUAACAUGAAAAUGUUAUAAACCUUAAGUAAUCACUGGGGUAGGAUCCCAAUUUCUGUAUAACAUGAAAAUGUUAUAAACCUUAAGGAUCUCAACUUGUGUUUAAAAAUAAGAGGGUUUCCAAGCCACUGAAUCGUGAAAUGAUCCCCUUACCCGUAUCCCACAGUUAGAUAUGAUGUGCCCAUGCGAGGUGUGUAAACCUUAGUUCAUGUGAAAGAGGUAAUUAGCUCUUUAAAACCUAGAUGGGAUUAAGUACCCUUAAGCGUGGGAGAGAUGAUCAAUCUAUAGCUUGUAUACAUGAUAGUUUAGAGAUUACAUCAUUAAAUAUAAUGGAAUUUACUGAGUAUUGAGAUGUUCAUGUGUCAAGAUCCUUGUGUUUUAGGUUGUUUAAACUUGACGAUCCUGAUGUUCCAGGAUCUUCGCUUGUGAGGAUCCUGAUGCUUCAGGAUCUUCAAUCUUGAGGAUCCUUAACCGUACGUCGUUCUGCAUAGAAAACAUUAGCUAAGGGUGGGCGUUAGUCUAGCUAAUGCCCCUCCGAUGCUUAAGUUAGCAGCGUAUUCAAAGAGAAAAUCAGUGAUAAAAAAAAUUCUUUUAAGGUAAAGAAC
rnacentral:lncRNA from 1 species